GUUUGAUUAUGGCUCAAGAUUGAACGCUGGCGGGAUGCUUUACAUGCAAGUCAGACGGCAGCACGGACUUCGGUCUGGUGGCGAGCCAGCGAACGGGUGAGUAAUGUAUCGGAACGUGCCUAGUAGCGGGGGAUAACUACGCGAAAGCGUAGCUAAUACCACAUACGCCCUUCCAGGGAAAGCAGGGGGACCUUCAGGCCUCGCACUGACCGUCGG
rnacentral:misc_RNA from 1 species